CAGGGUCUUAGCUAGGAUUUUAGAUCUUGGGCGUGUUUCUAAUGACCAGGGUGUGCACAUCUCAAUUACUUUGAAUAGCCAAAUUCACGGUUCUAUAGUUAUACUCGCCAACAACAGACAAUGCCUGUGGUUGUUCACUGGUUCUAUGCUUUGCAACCAAAUACAAGGCGAGCAAACGCUCAUAUUUCGCACUGACAUACUCUUGGGGCUAUUUAAAACCACUUUAACACCAUACGGUUCCCAUUAUCCAUCAAAACAUUAAAACAUCACAGAUCACUAGUAUACUUUUGCCAAUUUCAACAACAACAACAACAACAGUAGAUUUUACAAACUUUCUUACAACGUAAAUUGGAAGAAAUUCUGUUUGUUGUAAGUACUGUAGCAACACCUUAUUUUAUGAACCUACACGGCCUUAUAGAAAUAGUGAAGCCGCGUUCAUUUUAUCUAGCCAUGUUUUUCCACUUUUGGCCGCGAUAACACGGCCAACACGGCCCUCUAGCUAAG